GGCGGCGUGCUUAACACAUGCAAGUCGAACGAAGAGCGAUGGAAGCUUGCUUCUAUCAAUCUUAGUGGCGAACGGGUGAGUAACGCGUAAUCAACCUGCCCUUCAGAGGGGGACAACAGUUGGAAACGACUGCUAAUACCGCAUACGAUCUAAUCUCGGCAUCGAGGAUAGAUGAAAGGUGGCCUCUACAUGUAAGCUAUCACUGAAGGAGGGGAUUGCGUCUGAUUAGCUAGUUGGAGGGGUAACGGCCCACCAAGGCGAUGAUCAGUAGCCGGUCUGAGAGGAUGAACGGCCACAUUGGGACUGAGACACGGCCCAGACUCCUACGGGAGGCAGCAGUGGGGAAUCUUCCGCAAUGGACGAAAGUCUGACGGAGCAACGCCGCGUGAGUGAUGACGGCCUUCGGGUUGUAAAGCUCUGUUAAUCGGGACGAAAGGCCUUCUUGCGAAUAGUGAGAAGGAUUGAACGGACCCGGAAUAAAAAAGCC
rnacentral:rRNA from 1 species